GGUGUUAAGAAGUCAUUAUCUAGGGAAAGCAUCAGCCUAUGGAGGGUACAGGCGUUGUGGGAAGUGAGCUGUGGAAGGCUGAUCACUAGGCGCACAGGAGGGAGCUGAUGGAGAGUCACAGAAUGGUUGGCCUGGGCUGUUGGGGCUCUCAGCACACAGGCUUUGAGUCUAAGAACUCUAGUUAAGAGCCAGUAAAAUGGCUCUGAAUAUAAAAGCAUUUGCCACACAAUUUGAUGACAGAAGCUGGAUCCCUGGCACUCAGCAGAAGAAAAAUGACUCCAAAAAGUUGUCAUCUGACCUCCCUUUUGGGCAUAGCAACCUGAAUCUUCCUGUUACGAUUUAUGAAGAACUGCUGAUGAGUAGAUAGGCAUUUUGAGGAUUUAAGGCAUCCUUGAUUCGCUGAAGAAUGACACCCUGGACUUAAAUAGUAUGUAAACACAAGGAGUGUUUUAUUCUGCAGAAGACAAGAAUGCUGGAAUCUCCCAUUACCAAACUAGAGAGACUCCCCAAAUGAGCUUGCAGGCCUUAUGUAAAGCACAUUAGGGAAUUCCGUGAUAAGUCAACCUCUAUGUUAAUCUGUUGGGUCCAUCUCUGUGGA